AUGGAAUGGAAGACAAAUAAAAUUGGGAAACCGAAAAGGGAGGGUAAAAGUGGAAAGAAAAAGAUGGAUCUGCGUUACAUGCAGGGAACUCAAGAUUCUCUGCAAAAUCAGUCUGUAAAUUCAGACUCUAAUUGGAAAAUUAAAUCUGGGAGUAAAAUUGGGAAAAGUAAACAACAACAUAUCAGUAAAUUAAAAUUGGGGGAAACGAGGAAAGGUAAUCAGACACGGAAAGAUUUUUCAAAAAAGGAGAGAUUUAAAAAGCAAACUGCGUUAACUGGGUCACCGUCUUCAGGUGAGGAGAGAAGUAAUGAUUCCCCACAAAGUCAAAAAGGUGAAGAUAUUUUAAGAAAGGAGACAUUCCCAAGUGAAGAGGAAUCUGAGAGUACCUGUUGCAGCUGGUACAGAGAGAUGAAGCUGGACAAGGACGAAGAGAGUAUUCAUUCUGAAGAAGAAGAAGAAGACAGAGAUUUUGAGAGUGAAGCAGAGCACGAAUUCAAACACCGACAAAAGAUAGGUGAUUUGACGAACCAGAGGUGGAACGAUGAGAAAACAGAAAUUAAUUGGCAACGUUGUGAUGACUCACAAAAGAAAGAAGAGGAUAAAUUUAUCUGGAAGUCACUGAAAGACAGAAAGGAAGUGAAAGUUAAAGAAAAAGAAAACGACAGGGAAGAAGAAUCUGUAGAAGAGGAAUUAGGUAAAAAUUGUGAAAAUGACCGUAGGCAAAUUAAAAUGGAUAAACCUAAGGGAUUUAAGAGAAGACUAGGAGAUAGAAGUGAAGGAAAGGAAGAUACCAGAGAAGUCACUGUUCAAGAAGAAUUGCCCUGUGAGGGAGAAGCCAGGAAAAAGCAAACAACUGACGGAAAGAAUGAAGACAAAAGAAACCUCGACCAAAACGGUAAGGAUGGUCGAGCAAAAAGAGGCCGAAUUGAAAAACAGAGAAUGAAGGAAGCCGAAGAAAGUGAACUAGAGAAUGCCCAAAGAAGGGCGGAAGACAAGACAGUUAUGGGUGAGGAGGAAGGAGAAGAAAAUGAAGAGGCGGAGGGAUCGGUAGAUGAGAAAGAGAUGGACAGAACUGAAGAAAUAGAGGAUGAAGGCAAACAAGAGGCAACUGAAGAAGAGGAAGCAGAAGAGAGUGGUCUAGAGGAUGAAGAGGAUGAAGUCAAAGAAAGAGAGGUUGAAGAGAGGCAACAGGUGGAAGAAGAAGGAGAAGAAGAAGGAAAAAGCUUGGAGGAGGGAGAGGAUGGGAAACUGAAUGGAGAAGUGGAAGGAAAUGAAAAAGAUGGAAAAGAGGAAGAGGCAGAGGGGCUGGAUGAGGACAGAGAAGAGGAGGUGAAGGAUGAAGAAGGGUUGGGGGAAGAGGAAGCAGAGCUAUAUGAGGAGGGAGAGGAGGAAGAGGGUCUGAGGGAGGAGGAGGAUGAAGAAGGUUUAGUGGAGGAGGGAGAAGGGUUGGAGGAGGGAGAGGAGGAAGAGGAGUUAGAGGAGGGAGAGGAGGAAGAGGAGUUGGAGGAGGGAGAGGAGGAAGAGGAGUUAGAGGAGGGAGAGGAGGAAGAGGAGUUGGAGGAGGGAGAGAAGGAAGAGGAGUUGGAGGAGGGAGAGGAGGAAGAGGAGUUGGAGGAGGGUCAGGAGGAAGAGGAGUUGGAGGAGGGUCAGGAGGAAGAGGAGUUGGAGGAGGGUCAGGAGGAAGAGGAGCUGGAGGAGGGUCAGGAGGAAGAGGAGCUGGAGGAGGGUCAGGAGGAAGAGGAGCUGGAGGAGGGUCAGGAGGAAGAGGAGCUGGAGGAGGGUCAGGAGGAAGAGGAGCUGGAGGAGGGUCAGGAGGAAGAGGAGCUGGAGGAGGGUCAGGAGGAAGAGGAGCUGGAGGAGGGUCAGGAGGAAGAGGAGCUGGAGGAGGGUCAGGAGGAAGAGGAGCUGGAGGAGGGAGAGGAGGGAGAAGAGGAAGGGAGAUUAGGGGAGGAGGAAGAGAUGUUGGCAGAGGAGGAAGAGGAGCUGGAGGAGGGGGAGGAGGACAAGCUGGAUGAGAAAAAUGAAAGAUUAGUGAAUGAGGAGGAAGAGGAUUGGGAGAAGGAAGAAGAGAUGAAGGGUGAGGAGGAAUGGGAGGAAGAGAGGAAAGGUAAGAAAAAAGGGGAGGGUGAGAGAAAAGGAAAAGGAGAAAAAGAGGGUGAAGGUAAGGAGAAGAAAAAGAUGAGUGAAAUUAAGGAAGCUAUAAAUUAUAAGAGAGAGAGAAUUCCACAGAAAACAUUCAGAAACAGACGGGAGUCAGAGAGGAAAAAAUGUAACUCUCCAAGGUCUAAAGUGAAAGUAAAUUCUAAACAACAUCGAUUACCUGAUUCAAAACAGUUCUGGAACAAUGUACUCCCUCAUUACCUGACAUUGAGGUAA
rnacentral:lncRNA from 1 species